GCCCGCAUGGCUCAGUGGUAGAGCGUGUCACUUGUACUUUCUUCAAAAAAAAAAGUCAUGAUAAGGUCGCUAGUUCGAUUCUGGCUGUGGGCA